GGACUCACAGGCCUCCCUUCCACUCACAGCUUUUUGAAGUAGCUCUGUGGACUUACACCAGAGAGAUGAAAAGCUGAAAUCCAGCUGCCGUUCAUUCCUGCUUUGAGAUUAGGAAAGGUAGAGCUGAAUUUGGGCUAUGUUACUCAGAAGCUUUUCCCCAGCUGAUGGAGGCCUGCCCUGGAGGUGCUCAGCUCCAUCUCUGCUGUCCAGGCUGUGAGCAAGAACACCUAAGGAAAGCCAGCAGCCUCCUUCACUCUCCCUCCCCAUCCAUUCAGGUUUUUAUGCUUUAAUUUCCUAACUGUUCCUGCAUUACUUCACAGUUGAUGACGUGUGGGGCCAAGCUCUUGGCACACGUGAGCACAGUGGAUAUUCAAGGAGCGUUAACUCGGGUCCAUUUUUCUUUCCAUCAAACACAGCCUCCUGGUAAAAGAGCCAUUCAGGAUGCCUGGAGGAGCCCAGAUUUCAAAUCUGAUGAAGUCUGCAGUUCUAUAAAUUCCCUCCCUCUUUUGUGCUGAUGGCAACGACUUUUAUAUGUAUUUUCAUGUCUUUCUCUCCAGAGAUAAAUUUUGUGGCCUGCCACUGAAUCUGCUUCCUAAAAUGUAGCUUGGAGAUUUUAUUUGAGAUAAACUAUCAUGUGA
rnacentral:lncRNA from 1 species